rnacentral:sRNA from 1 species
UUUAAAUUUUUUGUAGAGACAGGGUCUUCCGCUAUGUUGACCAGGCUGGUCUCUGACUCCUGUCCUCAAGCAAUCCUCCCACCUAAGACCCCUAAAGUACUGGGAUUACAGGUGUGAGCCACAAUGCCUGGCCUCCUGGAACUCUUAAAAUAAAAAAGUUAGGAUCAUUUAACAAUUUUCCUAUCAAAAUUCUAGUCUUUGGGUUUUUCACUGGGUUGAUAUUGUUCUCUUUGUGAAAAUCAUAUAACUCCUUUGAGUGAGACUUGUAAGCUAUCGUUAAUUAUGCUGUUGUUUUAGUAACUAAUUUUAUGUGCUUUUAUUAUGAAAUGCAAAUAUUAUACAUUUUAAUCAGUGACUUGGUUUGUUCUAAGUCACUCUGAGAGGAGUGAUACCAAUGAAAAAAGGUCAGUUGAUUCCAGUGCUAAAAGGGAAAAACCUGUGGUCCGCCCAGAAGAGAUUCCUCCAGUGCCUGAGAACCGAUUUUUACUGAGAAGAGAUAUGCCUGUUGUUACUGCAGAACCUGAACCGAAGAUUCCUGAUGUUGCACCCAUUGUAAGUGAUCAGAAACCAUCUGUAUCAAAGUCUGGACGGAAGAUUAAAGGAAGGGGCACAAUUCGCUAUCACACACCUCCAAGAUCAAGAUCCUGUUCUGAGUCAGAUGAUGAUGACAGCAGUGAAACUCCUCCUCACUGGAAAGAGGAAAUGCAGAGAUUAAGAGCAUAUAGACCACCUAGUGGAGAAAAAUGGAGUAAAGGAGAUAAGUAAGAAUUUUGAGUAUAAGCACAAUCCUGUGUCUGUUAUAUUUUAAAUGUUAAAGGGAUUGGAUACAAUUCUGGACUUUUCAUUAAAGAUUCAGUGAAAGAUUCACAGUCAGAC